UUCCUGGCCUGUGCUGAGGUGAGAUAUCAUGAUUACCAAGGGUGAGGCCUGUCUCUUUUAUUCUGGGGGUACAAGAGACCCCUGCAAGUUUCCCCAAAUGCAAGAAACUUGACUGCACAAUUUUGUGGCAAUGGGGGACUGUAUUUAUGUUUCCCCCAU
ensembl:snRNA U1 U1 spliceosomal RNA